CACGUAGGGCGCAAGCGUUGUCCGGAAUCACUGGGCGUAAAGCGCACGUAGGCGGAUUGCUAAGUCAGGGGUGAAAUCCUGGAGCUCAACUCCAGAACUGCCCUUGAUACUGGCGGUCUCGAGUCCGGGAGAGGUGAGUGGAACUGCGAGUGUAGAGGUGAAAGUUCGUAGAUAUUCGCAAGAACACCAGUGGCGAAGGCGGCUCGACUGGCCCGGUACGUGAACGCUGAGGUGCGAAAGCGUGGGGAGCAAACAGGG
rnacentral:rRNA from 1 species